UACGAAGGGGGCUAGCGUUGUUCGGCUUUACUGGGCGUAAAGCGCACGUAGGCGGAUUGUUAAGUCGGGGGUGAAAUCCUGGAGCUCAACUUCAGAAUUGCCUUCGAUACUGGCUUUCUAGAGGCUGGAAGAGGUUAGUGGAAUUCCCAGUGUAGAGGUGAAAUUCGUAGAUAUUGGGAAGAACACCAGUGGCGAAGGCGGCUAACUGGUCCAGAUCUGACGCUGAGGUGCGAAAGCGUGGGGAGCAAACAGG
rnacentral:rRNA from 1 species